AGUUAUGAGGGGGAUCUGGCUACAUCCGUCACCCUACUGACCGCCAGAGUUGGUUUAGCUGAUCUGGCUGGUCCCUUCCUCUCUCAACCCUCAAUGUGUAUUCACCCACCCUGAAGCUGCUCGCUCCUUGGAACAAGUGAGCACCUCUGAUAGAGGAAGACCAUUUUCCCAGUCAAGAGUAUGAGAGUAGCCGCACUCUCAAAAAUCCCAAAGUAAAACACCAAAUCAAAAAAUAGACAAGUGAAACGCUUCACAGAAGUACAAAUGACCAAUAAAUACAUGAAGAAAUGUUU
ensembl:misc_RNA 7SK 7SK RNA